AUUGAACGCUGGCGGCAUGCCUUACACAUGCAAGUCGAACGGUAACGGGCCUUCGGGUGCCGACGAGUGGCGAACGGGUGAGUAAUGCAUCGGAACGUACCUUUCAGUGGGGGAUAACGUAGCGAAAGUUACGCUAUUACCGCAUAUUCUGUGAGCAGGAAAGCAGGGGAUCGCAAGACCUUGCGCUGAUUGAGCGGCCGAUGUCAGAUUAGCUAGUUGGUGAGGUCAAGGCUCACCAAGGCGACGAGCUGUAGCGGGUCUGAGAGGAUGAUCCGCCACACUGGAUCUGAGACCCGGUCCAGACUGCUACGGGGGGCAGCAGUGGGGAAUUUUGGACAAUGGGGGCAACCCUGAUCCAGCCAUGCCGCGUGGGUGAAGAAGGCCUUCGGGUUGUAAAGCACUUUCGGUCGGGAAGAAAUCGCAUGGGUUAAUACCCUGUGCGGAUGACGGUACCGGCAUAAGAAGCACCGGCUAACUACGUGCCAGCCGCCGCAGUAAUAC
rnacentral:rRNA from 1 species